GAUGAACGCUGGCGGCGUGCCUAAUACAUGCAAGUCGAGCGAACAGACGCGUAGCUUGCUUCUCUGACGUUAGCGGCGUACGUGUGACUUCCACGUGGAUAACCUACCUAUGAGUCUGGGAUCACUUCGUGAACUCGUACCGCAUACCGUCUAAUAUUUUUAACCGCAUAGUUCACUGCUAUAUUUCGGUUUUGCCGUUUCUUAUAGCUGGUUUCGGGACGGAUUAGCUAUUUGGUAAGGUAACGGCUUACCAAGGCCACGAUGCGUAGCUGACCUGAGAGGGUGAUCGGCCACACUGGAACUGAGACACGGUCCAGACUCCUACGGGAGGCAGCAGUAGGGAAUCUUCCGCAAUGGGCGAAAGCCUGACGGAGCAACGCCGCGUGAGUGAUGAAGGUCUUCGGAUCGUAAAACUCUGUUAUUAGGGAAGAACAAAUGUGUAAGUAAAUAGGCACGUAAUGACGGUACCUAAACAGAAAGCAACGGCUAACUACGUG
rnacentral:rRNA from 1 species